UAUUACUCACAUUAAUUUCUCUGGUAAGCUGAAAGGCAGAUGUGCUCAUAAAGCGAGGAAUUAUGAUCAUAAAAUGUAUUCAAAGGUUUUGCGAAAUCGGAAAAACAGCUGGAAAAGUUUCACUUUUUGUUAAACAAGCUGGACACUGGGGUUGACACGCCCCGGUCACAUGAUCACAGGACACUCCAGGUGUCGCCCCGGUAACCAGGCUUACAGAUGCAGGCGCCAUGGCGACGGUGACACUCUACAGUGUUCUGCUGCACACAGCGACACUCUUCAGAACAGCCCGGUCCAAACAUCCACCGAGGACACGCUGCACAGAGUCAA